GUAGUCCACGCUGUAAACGAUGGAUGCUAGCUGUUGGGGGCACUCCUCCAGUAGCGCAGCUAACGCGUUAAGCAUCCCGCCUGGGGAGUACGGUCGCAAGAUUAAAACUCAAAGGAAUUGACGGGGACCCGCACAAGCGGUGGAGCAUGUGGUUUAAUUCGAGGCAACGCGAAGAACCUUACCAGGCCUUGACAUGUCUAGUAUGAGGACCAGAGAUGGACCUCUUCAGUUUGGCUGGCUAGAACACAGGUGCUGCAUGGCUGUCGUCAGCUCGUGUCGUGAGAUGUUGGGUUAAGUCCCGCAACGAGCGCAACCCUCGUCCUUAAUUGCCAUCAUUUAGUUGGGAACUUUAAGGAAACUGCCAGCGUCAAGCUGGA
rnacentral:rRNA from 1 species